CAAUAGCGUAUAUUAAAGUUGUUGCAGUUAAAAAGCUCGUAGUUGGAUUUCUGGUGGGAGCGAUCGGUCUGGCGCUUAGCGCGAGUACUUGCAUCGUCUCCGGCCAUCCUUGGGGAGAGUCUGUCUGGCAUUAGGUUGUCGGGCAGAGGAUCCUCAUCGUUUACUGUGAAAAAAUUAGAGUGUUCAAAGCAGGCUUAUGCCGUUGAAUAUGUUAGCAUGGAAUAAUAAGAUAGGACUUUGGUACUAUUUUGUUGGUUUGCGCACCAAAGUAAUGACUAAUAGGGACAGUUGGGGGUAUUCGUAUUCCGUUGUCAGAGGUGAAAUUCUUGGAUUUACGGAAGACGAACUACUGCGAAAGCAUUUACCAAGGAUGUUUUCAUUAA
rnacentral:rRNA from 1 species